GGGUGCAUGGUGGCUUAAUGGUUAGCACAUUCAUCUCAGACCUCCAGGGUUGAGGGUUCGAUUCCCACUGUGGCCC